CUGAAGAAACUAAAGCUUAAAGACUUUAAAUAAUUUGCACAAGGUCAUAUGCCUGCUAAAGGGAACAGUUGGAACUCAAACUCAGACACAGCUAACACCAAAGUCUGUGCUAACCCCGUGCUGAAUUGCAUGCUGGAGUGGGUCUCUCCUUGAUGGGUCCAGGGAUACCAAAGUCAGAUGGACAUGCAGAACAGAGACAUGGCCACAGACUCGACUCAAUGUUCCAUUGUUUGGAUGAACCAGUUUGUUUAACCAUCUGGAAGGGCAUCUGGAUUGUUUCCAGUUUGGUGCUGUUAUGAAUAAAGCUACUGUGAACGUCCAUGUGGUUAUAGAAUGGCAACAACGGGAUCUUUAUGGUGAUGGAAUUCCACAGCAUCUUGACUGUAGUGACGGACCCAGGAAACUCUACAUGUGACACACAGAGAGAGGCACAGAUUGAAAUACACAUGCACAGAAAUGAGAACAAGCAAAGCUGGGAAAAUCGGAACAAGCUUAGCGUGCUUUAUCAAGGUCGACGUCCUGGUUGUGCUAUUAUACUAGAAGUUCUGCAAAGUGUUACCACAAAGGGAAACUAGGUAAAGAGUACAUGGGAUGUCUUCUUUUUUUUUUUUUUUUUUUUAAAGAUUUUAUUUUUUCCUUUUUCUCCCCAAAGCCCCCCGGUACAUAGUUGUGUAUUCUUCGUUGUGGGUUCCUCUAGUUGUGGCAUGUGGGACGCUGCCUCAGCGUGGUCUGACGAGCAGUGCCAUGUCCGUGCCCAGGAUUCGAACCGACGAAACACUGGGCCACCUGCAGCGGAGCGCGCGAACCCAACCACUCGGCCAUGGGGCCAGCCCCCAUGGGAUGUCUUCUACAUGUGAAUCUGCAAUUAUCUCAAAAUGAACAACUUUAAUUUUUUUAAAAAAGUUACUCUUUUAAGAACCGCAGGGAAAAUGUACAAUUUGAUUCCUGCUGUUUCUAAUUUACUUGCUAAAUGUCACUGAUUGUCUACUAUGUGUUAAAUACUUACAUUCAACUUUGCUUUAUAACAGAUUGAUCUUUCUGUGCUAUUAUAUCAUUUUAAAGGAUCAAACCAAUUAAACAAAAAAUUAUGUCACUAAAAAUACCUUAAAAUUACAAAAAACUAAAAGUUAUUAAUAAUUCUACAGCUUUAAAAAAUUAUGCGAGGCAGAAGUUGUCUUUUCCCCCACGUUCCCUCCUCCUAGCCAAUCCCAACCCCAAAAAGUCUCCAUUCACUACAUCUCUUUCCUGACUCCAAAGCAUAUGCAGAUACACACACGUACAUAUACGUAUAUUUUUAAAGUGAAAAAGGAAUCUUGCUAUUCAAAAUGUUCUCCAUCUUGUUUUUUCAUUUAAUAAUAUACCUGGAAUGAACAUCUAUCUGGACUGAAUCAGGACAUCUGCAUCUACUUCGGCCACUUUUGACGGCACACACCAUAACUUAUUCAACAGCUCCCGUCUAAGUGGGCAUCUGGGCUGCUUCUGCUCUUCUGCUAUUACAUAAGGUCUGCCACAAGCAUUCCUACACAUGUGUCUGUACAUAAUAGUGAUGUUAUUUCUAAAAAAUAGAUUCCUUGAAGUGAUAUUGCUGAGUGCAAAUAUAGAUAUGUCUUUAACUGUUUACUGUUUAAAAUGUGUUUAUCAGGGAUAUUAUGGGUGUUUCCUUUUUAC
ensembl:lncRNA